rnacentral:rRNA from 1 species
UACAGAGGUGGCAAGCGUUGUUCGGAAUUACUGGGCGGAAAGGGCGCGUAGGCGGCCUACUAAGUCAGACGUGAAAUCCCCCGGCUUAACCUGGGAACUGCGUCUGAUACUGGAAGGCUUGAGGAUGGGAGAGGGAUGUAGAAUUCCAGGUGUAGCGGUGAAAUGCGUAGAUAUCUGGAGGAAUACCGGUGGCGAAGGCGGCAUCCUGGACCAUUACUGACGCUGAGGCGCGAAAGCGUGGGGAGCAAACAGG